AAAACAACUCUCAGCUACGGAUAUCUUGGCUCUUGCAACGAUGAAGAACGCAGCGAAAUGCGAUACGUAGUGUGAAUUGCAGAAUUCCGCGAAUCAUCGAGUCUUUGAACGCAAGUUGCGCCCGAGGCUUGUCCGAGGGCAUUUCCGCUAGAGCGUCACCG
rnacentral:rRNA from 1 species